UGUGGUCACCAUGAACGAUCUGGCACACAUUUGAAAGUCUGUCUUUUUCUAGAAAAGUAAAAGAUUAAACAUCUCGGUGCCCACCAGCCGCGGGAUAUUGUUAUAAACCAAACCUCUGAUAAAAAUGAUCAGAUUGAACGUGAAGUGGUUCUCCAGGUCAAAACGGUUAACUGCUAGCUAGCUAGCUUGUCAGAGAAGACGCUUCUUAUUUUGCUUCCCGUGUGUGUUAUUUGGAGAGGAUGGUAUCUGGUUAAGAAUAUAGGCUUUUAGGACCUCAAGCAUCUUUCUGAGAUAAUUAAAAAAAAACAAAAGCAGCAGGAUAACGCCGUAAAGUUGGACUUGCUCGGCAGAACAUUCUUGGCUAACGUUAACGCUAGCUACCCAAGCUGACAGCGCUUAAACUGGGGAUUGAGCAGUUUAACAGCACGCUGAGGAGAACAGAGGUCAUGACAGGGAGGUGUCAUUUAAGGUUUGAUGGGUAAUCCUAAUGUAUGCCAACGUUCUGGAAAGCCUCAUGUGAUCUCUAGGAGCACUUACGACUGAUCAGAAGCUGGAGGGUGAGAUGGUCAAGUCUAUCCCAGCAUGCAUUUGGGUGAAAAAGAGCAGACCGGUCCAGUCCAUCGCAAGGCAAACACAUUUAACGAACACAGAAUACAGAACAUCUGCACCCAGACUGACACCCAUGGGACCGUAUAUAUGCAACGAUGGCAGUGAUCCAUCCUGACUGCCAUAGGCUGAGCGACAGAUUCCAAACAAGAGGGAACCCCAAGGCAGCUGUGGACUUUUAUUUGAAUGAGCUAAAAAAAAACAACCUGCUGUAAUAAUCCAACAUUUUGCUGCAUGAAGGGCUGGUGAUGUUGUGGGGGAGGAGCUGGACACACUGAUGAGCGUGGCUGAGAGGAGGAUGCUGUCCAGGCUUCAGUCCAUCUUGGAUAACGUCUCCCACCCUCUCUACGACACACUGGCCCAGCAGAGGAGCACCUUCAGCAGAAGACUCCUCUCACCCAGAUGCACCACAGAGCGCCACAGGA